GACGAACGCUGGCGGCGUGCUUAACACAUGCAAGUCGAACGGAAAGGCCCUUCGGGGUACUCGAGUGGCGAACGGGUGAGUAACACGUGGGUGAUCUGCCCUGCACUUUGGGAUAAGCCUGGGAAACUGGGUCUAAUACCGAAUAGGACCACGCGCUUCAUGGUGUGUGGUGGAAAGCUUUUGCGGUGUGGGAUGGGCCCGCGGCCUAUCAGCUUGUUGGUGGGGUAAUGGCCUACCAAGGCGACGGCGGGUAGCCGGCCUGAGAGGGUGACCGGCCACCCUGGGACUGAGAUACGGCCCAGACUGCUACGGGAGGCAGCAGUGGGGAAUAUUGCACAAUGGGCGCACGCCUGAUGCAGCGACGCCGCGUGAGGGAUGACGGCCUUCGGGUUGUAAACCUCUGUCAAUAGGGACGAAGCGCAAGUGACGGUACCUAUAGAAGAAGCCCCGGCCAACUACGUG
rnacentral:rRNA from 1 species